rnacentral:rRNA from 1 species
UACGGGGGGAGCAAGCGUUGUUCGGAUUUACUGGGCGUAAAGGGCGCGUAGGCGGCCAGCACAAGUCAGUUGUGAAAUCUCCGGGCUUAACUCGGAAAGGUCAACUGAUACUGCGCGGCUAGAGUGCAGAAGGGGCAACUGGAAUUCUCGGUGUAGCGGUGAAAUGCGUAGAUAUCGAGAGGAACACCUGCGGCGAAGGCGGGUUGCUGGGCUGACACUGACGCUGAGGCGCGAAAGCGUGGGGAGCAAACAGG